rnacentral:rRNA from 1 species
CAGCCGCCGCGGUAAUACGUAGGUGGCAAGCGUUGUCCGGAAUUAUUGGGCGUGAAGGGCUCGCAGGCGGUUUCUUAAGUCUGAUGUGAAAGCCCCCGGCUCAACCGGGGAGGGUCAUUGGAAACUGGGAAACUUGAGUGCAGAAGAGGAGAGUGGAAUUCCACGUGUAGCGGUGAAAUGCGUAGAGAUGUGGAGGAACACCAGUGGCGAAGGCGACUCACUGGACCAUUACUGACGCUGAGGCGCGAAAGCUAGGGGAGCAAACAGGAUUAGAUACCCCAGUAGUCCCUGUCUCUUAUAC